UACGUAGGGGUCGAGCGUUGUCCGGAGUUACUGGGCGUAAAGCGUGUGCAGGCGGCUCAUUGCGCCCGGCGUGAAAGCCCCCGGCUCAACCGGGGAGAGUCGUCGGGGACGGGUGAGCUUGAGGGUAUCAGGGGCUGGUGGAAUUCCCGGUGUAGUGGUGAAAUGCGUAGAUAUCGGGAGGAGCACCCGUGGCGAAGGCGGCCAGCUGGGAUACACCUGACGCUGAGACACGAAGGCGUGGGGAGCGAACGGG
rnacentral:rRNA from 1 species